rnacentral:tRNA from 1 species
UCCGAUGUUGUCUAGUGGUUAGGAUCCCUGGCUUUCACCCAGGUGGCCCGGGUUCAAUUCCCGGCAUCGGAA